rnacentral:rRNA from 1 species
GACGAACGCUGGCGGCGUGCUUAACACAUGCAAGUCGAACGGUGAAGCGCCUUCCUUUUUGGUGGGUGUGGAUGAGUGGCGAACGGGUGAGUAACACGUGAGUAACCUGCCCCCUUCUUCUGGAUAACCGCAUGAAAGUGUGGCUAAUACGGGAUAUUCUGGGUCUGUCGCAUGAUGGGUCUGGGAAAGAUAUUGUUUCGGUGGGGGAUGGGCUCGCGGCCUAUCAGCUUGUUGGUGGGGUGAUGGCCUACCAAGGCGGUGACGGGUAGCUGGCCUGAGAGGGUGGACGGUCACACUGGGACUGAGACACGGCCCAGAUUCCUACGAGAGGCAGCAGUGGGGAAUAUUGCACAAUGGGCGCAAGCCUGAUGCAGCGACGCCGCGUGCGGGAUGGAGGCCUUCGGGUUGUGAACCUCUUUCGCCAGUGAAGCAGGCCUGCCUCGUUUGUGGGUGGGUUGACGGUAGCUGGAUAAGAAGCGCCGGCUAACUACGUG